ensembl:lncRNA
CUCACUGACAGUCAUUGAAGUGAGCUCUCAGAGCCACAGCUGCAGGAAAGCAGGGGGCUGUUUUUCUGACAGCCUUCAAGUAAAUAGUUUUCUAUUUUGAGACUUUCAUUACCCUUCCUCAUUUCCAACAGUUUGAUAUUCCUCUCCAGAAGCUUGCCACUGAAAUUUGUCUUUUUUUUUUUUUUUGUCAGAAACUGACAUUCUAAAAUUGAAUCUGAAAUUGAAACAGCAUUUAAGAGAUUUUUUUUUCCUGUAUGCAAUGACAGUAGUAGUCUCAGACAUUAGCAGAUUCUCAGAGCUUCUAUAGUAGCAUAUAUUGGUUGUGCUUAAUUUGUAGGCUAAUUUCUAAUACACAAAGAGGACUCUGCCUUCUCUCCAGUGACCUCAGGAUUUCUUUCAGGUUUACAUCAGCAUGACUAAGGGGAAAAGAAUUAGCCCUUUUCAGAAGUCAGACAGAAAUGAAUACAUCCCACAGGUACAAAGGCAGCUGCCUUCUCACUUCUGCUCUCAGCUACUCUGGCGUCAAAUUUACUACACCUCCAUGCAUGACAAGCAAAACCAAGCCAAAUGGGAAUUAUGAAGAUGAGCUGGGGUAUCCCAAUGGAACAGUUGCAAACAGACAAGCUGACUAUGUCAGGUUAUUCAGUUGAGAACAACUCCAGAAACUGCAGUUUAUUUAAAGUGAGUGACAGCUACAGCUGCUUGGAUGACUGUGGGUUUGGCAUCCUGACUGGCAGUAAGUUACCCUGCUCCUGUUGUCCUAUUCUCUACUGCACGGGGUCAAAGACAGGCCAGGCAGUGUGAUGAGUUGGUUGGAACUAGAGUGGAUGAAGCAAUUCAAGCCCCCAGAAAUAUGAACCUGCUGUAGGCUUCAGGAAAAGCAUCCAUAAAGAUGCACACCAUCCCGAGCCUCUUUUCUUCUUUGUCAAACUGUUUCACUUCAGUCUUCACCUCUAUUGAGGCUAUUGGAUGUUUGAAUGUCUCUGCAACAUCUGAUUUUUCAGAUAAGUCCAAAUCUUGUAAUAAAAAAUUUGUAGAAAAACACAGGCAGCGUGUGAAUGGAAGCUUUCUGAGCAGUCACUAUUCAUAUAAGCAGCUGC